GACGAACCGUCCAAACGUUAUUCGGAAUCACUGGGCUUAAAGGGUGCGUAGGCGGCCCGGAAAGUUGGGUGUGAAAUCCCUCGGCUCAACCGAGGAACUGCAUUCAAAACUACCGGGCUUGAGGGAGAUAGAGGUGAGCGGAACUCAGGGUGGAGCGGUGGAAUGCGUUGAUAUCCUGGGGAACACCAGUUGCGAAGGCGGCUCACUGGGUCUCUUCUGACGCUGAGGCACGAAAGCUAGGGGAGCGAAGAGG
rnacentral:rRNA from 1 species